rnacentral:snoRNA from 1 species
AGUCCAUGGUGAGGACACCUUCUCACCAAUUCCUUAAAUCUCUCUCAUGUAUCAUAAAGAGUCCUAAUAUCAAAUUGAACUAAAGAAGAGAUGUCAUUUCUCAACUU